UCCAGCCAUGCCGCGUGUGUGAAGAAGGCCUUUUGGUUGUAAAGCACUUUAAGCAGUGAAGAAGACCUAACGGUUAAUACCCGUUAGCGAUGACAUUAGCUGCAGAAUAAGCACCGGCUAACUCUGUGCCAGCAGCCGCGGUAAUACAGAGGGUGCAAGCGUUAAUCGGAAUUACUGGGCGUAAAGCGAGCGUAGGUGGCUUGAUAAGUCAGAUGUGAAAUCCCCGGGCUUAACCUGGGAACUGCAUCUGAUACUGUUAAGCUAGAGUAGGUGAGAGGGAAGUAGAAUUCCAGGUGUAGCGGUGAAAUGCGUAGAGAUCUGGAGGAAUACCGAUGGCGAAGGCAGCUUCCUGGCAUCAUACUGACACUGAGGCUCGAAAGCGUGGGUAGCAAACAGGAUUAGAUACCCUGGUAGUCCACGCCGUAAACGAUGUCUACUAGUCGUUGGGUCCCUUGAGGACUUAGUGACGCAGCUAACGCAAUAAGUAGACCGCCUGGGGAGUACGGCCGCAAGGUUAAAACUCAAAUGAAUUGACGGGGGCCCGCACAAGCGGUGGAGCAUGUGGUUUAAUUCGAUGCAACGCGAAGAACCUUACCUGGUCUUGACAUAUCUAGAAUCCUGCAGAGAUGCGGGAGUGCCUUCGGGAAUUAGAAUACAGGUGCUGCAUGGCUGUCGUCAGCUCGUGUCGUGAGAUGUUGGGUUA
rnacentral:rRNA from 1 species